AAGAAAAAAAGAAGCAGUGCUACAGUUGUACUAGACGCUGGAAUGGCUUGUAUUGGUUGAAAUUUUCUUAUUUUUCAGAUUCAAAAAUCUGUUUGCUCUACAAAGUCGAUGAGUGCAUCUAAUCAGUUCUGCAGCGCCAUGGUGAACGUUGGGAGGUGUUGGCACGGAAGACGGAGCGGGAAAAGGUUCACCACAACUAUGCGGUGAGAAGGAUAUCAACGGAUUGUGCAUUUACAGUUAGCGGGUGAGCCCACACUGUACCUCGUAGGAGAACCUGGCCAUGGGUAUUGGAGAAUGCAUAUCGUAUGCCGGGAUCGUGCGCGGCCUUGAACACUGACUCUGCUCGAUCACGGGUUCCAAAUUGGUCAUUACGUUACAGGCGGCUUGCCAGCAAUCAGCAUUGGGUGUUCUUUUUCCGAUCAGUUCUUCCCACCGUCCUUCUGUGUAUAAAGUGCCUUCCAUUAACAUCUCCCGACAACAAGUUGGAGUUGCUUCUAGCACGGAUUAUGAUGGUGCUGUUGCCGAAGAGGAAUGUUGUGUUGCCUGGUUGCACUGGACAGGAUGGUUCACACAGUGUAGUCGAUCCACUUUCCAACAACCUUGGAAAUCAGUGCCUUUGCACAAGACGCGCCUCUGAUGCAUUUUUUAAGAGUCGCAACUCCUCCAAUAUCUCUGCAUUAUUGGCAGCAUUCAUUUCCUAAAACUAAGACAAAUAUUAUGAAACAAUCAUUCAUAAAGAUAGAUCUUGAAAAAAGUAACUUACUUUUGUUCAUAUUAUAUUACUUUUGAUAUAUUGACUUGAUUUAUAUCCAGCAUAUAAAUAAGUCCGAUCCGAUCCGAAAGAACGAUUCCGACCAGUUCGGGAAUCGUUUGAUUCCGGACUCGUUUUGAUUCCGGACUCGCUUUGGUUCCGGACUCAUUUUGGUUCCGGACUCGUUUUUGAUUCCGCGCUCCGGAUUCCCGUUCUGCUGCAAAUGUAUGUCGUACAUAUUGUUCGCAUUAUUUCCUCUCUUCUUUGUCCUUGCCAGCCGGUUGCUUGAUGGUGUAAUUUCCGGGUAGAAUUUUGGAGGCGACGGAGAUUUCCUCUUCUUUUUUCCUUUCACUUCUUGUGUUUCCUUUUCCAUUAACAGCGCUGCUUACUCAAAUUUGGCAAAUUUGUUUGGGUGUUUAAACUCACACCUUCAAAUGAUUUUAAGUUCCGGCCCCUAUUGAUGACGCUCGAUUCUCGAAUCCGGAAA